rnacentral:rRNA from 1 species
GAUGAACGCUAGCGACAGGCUUAACACAUGCAAGUCGAGGGGCAGCGGGGGUAGCAAUACCCGCCGGCGACCGGCGCACGGGUGAGUAACGCGUAUGCAACUUACCUAUCAGAGGGGGAUAACCCGGCGAAAGUCGGACUAAUACCGCAUGAAGCAGGGGCCCCGCAUGGGGAUAUUUGCUGAAGAUUCAUCGCUGAUAGAUAGGCAUGCGUUCCAUUAGGCAGUUGGCGGGGUAACGGCCCACCAAACCGACGAUGGAUAGGGGUUCUGAGAGGAAGGUCCCCCACAUUGGUACUGAGACACGGACCAAACUCCUACGGGAGGCAGCAGUGAGGAAUAUUGGUCAAUGGGCGUAAGCCUGAACCAGCCAAGUCGCGUGAGGGAUGAAGGUUCUAUGGAUCGUAAACCUCUUUUAUAAGGGAAUAAAGUGCGGGACGUGUCCCGUUUUGUAUGUACCUUAUGAAUAAGGAUCGGCUAACUCCGUGCCAGCAGCCGCGGUAAUACGGAGGAUCCGAGCGUUAUCCGGAUUUAUUGGGUUUAAAGGGUGCGUAGGCGGCCUUUUAAGUCAGCGGUGAAAGUCUGUGGCUCAACCAUAGAAUUGCCGUUGAAACUGGGGGGCUUGAGUAUGUUUGAGGCAGGCGGAAUGCGUGGUGUAGCGGUGAAAUGCUUAGAUAUCACGCAGAACCCCGAUUGCGAAGGCAGCCUGCCAAGCCAUGACUGACGCUGAUGCACGAAAGCGUGGGGAUCAAACAGGAUUAGAUACCCUGGUAGUCCACGCAGUAAACGAUGAUCACUAGCUGUUUGCGAUACAGUGUAAGCGGCACAGCGAAAGCGUUAAGUGAUCCACCUGGGGAGUACGCCGGCAACGGUGAAACUCAAAGGAAUUGACGGGGGCCCGCACAAGCGGAGGAACAUGUGGUUUAAUUCGAUGAUACGCGAGGAACCUUACCCGGGUUUGAACGCAUUCGGACCGAGGUGGAAACACCUUUUCUAGCAAUAGCCGUUUGCGAGGUGCUGCAUGGUUGUCGUCAGCUCGUGCCGUGAGGUGUCGGCUUAAGUGCCAUAACGAGCGCAACCCUUGCCACUAGUUACUAACAGGUAAAGCUGAGGACUCUGGUGGGACUGCCAGCGUAAGCUGCGAGGAAGGCGGGGAUGACGUCAAAUCAGCACGGCCCUUACAUCCGGGGCGACACACGUGUUACAAUGGCGUGGACAAAGGGAUGCCACCUGGCGACAGGGAGCGAAUCCCCAAACCACGUCUCAGUUCGGAUCGGAGUCUGCAACCCGACUCCGUGAAGCUGGAUUCGCUAGUAAUCGCGCAUCAGCCAUGGCGCGGUGAAUACGUUCCCGGGCCUUGCACU